GCCAGGGCUUGAAAACUGUUUGAUGGUCUAUAUAUUUUGUUGAGGUGGUAUAUACUAGCCCCUCAUGAUGAUCGUGAACUUGAGGUGGUAGGAUGAUACCCUCUUUUGGAUGUGGUGGUAGGAUGACACCCGAGUAGUUCUAGGUUUGAACUUGCUAUGCCGUAUGAUCAUGCAUGCUUACUACUUGUGCUACAUUGCUUGCUCCUUGAUAGUUCUUCUGCUUGCUGCUUAAAUUGUUGUUCUUGCGCACUACUAGGACAAAUGGUAUGCGGUGUUCGUUGGGAAGGUACUUGAGGUUUACCGUUCGUGGGAACAUUGCAGUGAACAAGUUGUCUCUGUGAGCAACAACAACCAUAGAGGGUUUAAGACUAGAUGGCGACACAAGAAGCUUACGCCAACUAUGUGCAAAACAUUGAAGUUGGCAAGGCGGCGCCACGCCUUGCGAUGAAGAACAUCAUCAUCAUCAUGCAGUUCAUCACCAUUGCUCUGUUGUGGCGUUGGUGUGCUAGGUGUGAUCAUGUGUAAGGUAACCGCACCACAUAAGGUACAAUGUUAGCACACCUCACACAGUGUAUGCAACCAAACAUCGUGCUUAUGUGUGAGUUCGGACAAUGCGGGCAACCAAACAACGUGCGUAAGCAUCCCCCUAAUGCACGAGAACUAAAUGCGGGCAACCAAACAAGUUCGGAUGUUGGUUUAGAGGCUGUAUUUGCUCAACCAGCCUUCAGCUAGCCAAGACCGGCUACUACAGCUGGCAAACACGCCCUCACUUCAGGUCUCUCCGAAGAUUGUUUGUUAGCCUACGGUGUGCUCCAGCACCUAUUGUAUUUUCUCGUGUUAGCAUUGCUCACGAUUUGUGGGGAUAUAUACCGACAAGAAAACAACACCUCAUAUAAUCUCCCUAACUUUCAUACGACUGCUACUACCACACUUGGUAGUCAAGGCCAAUGUAUAAGGAGUUUCUCAGAAUGAGCCAUGGAAACAAACCUCCUUUUACUAGUCUUCAUGGAUUCAUGGACCAAUGUUUAUUAGCACACCCCUCCUACCUAAUACCUUGAAGGUUUGUCUUCUCAUUUUUAAAGACACAUAGCAUAUAAAUAGCCGCCAAUAGGAAUGUAAUGUCAUUCACUCCCAUUUGAAUAAUUUCAAAUGGAGAAGCACACCCCUUUCAUAACACCACAUUUAUUUGGAGCUCGGAUUUCGAGAUUCGGGGGACCUCGCAAGGCUUGGAUAGCCCAUAGUUAGAGAGUCGCGAAAAAGAUUAUGCCAUCAGCGUUCUAUAAGACAAACACAUCUUUUGAUGCCUCUCCUCACAUAGGAGUAGGACGCGCUCCUGCAAGGUGGCUGGACCUAUUCAUAAAACAUCCAUGAUUCAAACUUGGUUGUGUACGACGACCUUCGCGAUAAGGAUGGCAUACCCACCUUUCCUGCCGUUCAUAUUAUCCUUAACCAUGUUACUAAUUGCACCAUAGUAGAAAGUUGUUUUCAUAACAACACGUCUCAUAACCAUCUAUAUACU
rnacentral:lncRNA from 1 species